UCCACCGAUUGACUAAGGUUUCCAGAGGAAGGCUCGUCCGCUCUGGGUUAGUCGGGUCCUAAGCUGAGGCCGACAGGCGUAGGCGAUGGAUAACAGGUUGAUAUUCCUGUACCACCUAUAAUCGUUUUAAUCGAUGGGGGGACGCAGUAGGAUAGGCGAAGCGUGCGAUUGGAUUGCACGUCUAAGCAGUAAGGCUGAGUAUUAGGCAAAUCCGGUACUCGUUAAGGCUGAGCUGUGAUGGGGAGAAGACAUUGUGUCUUCGAGUCGUUGAUUUCACACUGCCGAGAAAAGCCUCUAGAUAGAAAAUAGGUGCCCGUACCGCAAACCGACACAGGUAGUCAAGAUGAGAAUUCUAAGGUGAGCGAGCGAACUCUCGUUAAGGAACUCGGCAAAAUGACCCCGUAACUUCGGGAGAAGGGGUGCUCUUUAGGGUUAACGCCCAGAAGAGCCGCAGUGAAUAGGCCCAAGCGACUGUUUAUCAAAAACACAGGUCUCUGCUAAACCGUAAGGUGAUGUAUAGGGGCUGACGCCUGCCCGGUGCUGGAAGGUUAAGAGGAGUGGUUAGCUUCUGCGAAGCUACGAAUCGAAGCCCCAGUAAACGGCGGCCGUAACUAUAACGGUCCUAAGGUAGCGAAA
rnacentral:rRNA from 1 species